rnacentral:rRNA from 1 species
ANCUUNCAUGGAGCAAGUCUGAUGGAGCAACGCCGCGUGAGUGAAGAAGGGUUUCGGCUCGUAAAGCUCUGUUGGUAGUGAAGAAAGAUAGAGGUAGUAACUGGCCUUUAUUUGACGGUAAUUACUUAGAAAGUCACGGCUAACUACGUGCCAGCAGCCGCGGUAAUACA